rnacentral:rRNA from 1 species
UACAGAGGUCUCAAGCGUUGUUCGGAUUCAUUGGGCGUAAAGGGUGCGUAGGUGGCGGGGCAAGUCAGGUGUGAAAUCUCGGGGCUCAACCCCGAAACUGCACUUGAUACUGCCUUGCUCGAGUACUGGAGAGGAGACUGGAAUUUACGGUGUAGCAGUGAAAUGCGUAGAUAUCGUAAGGAAGACCAGUGGCGAAGGCGAGUCUCUGGACAGUUACUGACACUGAGGCACGAAGGCCAGGGGAGCAAACGGG